UACGAAGGGGGCUAGCGUUGCUCGGAAUCACUGGGCGUAAAGCGCACGUAGGCGGAUCGCUAAGUCAGGGGUGAAAUCCUGGAGCUCAACUCCAGAACUGCCUUUGAUACUGGCAAUCUCGAGUCCGGGAGAGGUGAGUGGAACUGCGAGUGUAGAGGUGAAAUUCGUAGAUAUUCGGAAGAACACCAGUGGCGAAGGCGGCUCACUGGCCCGGUACUGACGCUGAUGUGCGAAAGCGUGGGGAGCAAACAGG
rnacentral:rRNA from 1 species